rfam:Phaseolus vulgaris cultivar G19833 chromosome 10, whole genome shotgun sequence.
AGGUGCGAUCAUACCAGCACUAAUGCACCGGAUCCCAUCAGAACUCCGCAGUUAAGCGUGCUUGGGCGAGAGUAGUACUAGGAUGGGUGACCUCCUGGGAAGUCCUCGUGUUGCACUUC